ACAUGCCUUAAUUACCAUAUCAUGCAUAACUAGUACGCGUUUGGUUCGCACUAUAAAAGAUUACUAAAAAUAAAAAGAUGUCUGAGAAUCUUAUUCUAAUUAAUUCUAUUACUAAGAAUAUAGCAUUCCUGUGUUCGGUUCGCACAGUUAUAUUAUUUAGUCAUAUUAUUUAAGAUUACAAAAAAUAUACAAUUUAUUUAUUUAUUUAUUUAUUUAAUUUUAGAUAAUGUUAUCAAAAAUUUCAACAUCUUUUUAGAAAACAGGAAGAGAGAAUAUAGGUUAGAGAGAGAGAGCAUAAUUAAAGAAUUAGGAAGAGAAAUAGAAUUGAGAUUAGAGGGAGUGAGAGAGUUGAGAUUUUAGAGAACGAGAGGGAGAGAGAGCUUAGUUUAGAGAGAGAAAAACAGUUGAAGUUUAGAGAAAGAUAUGAGGUUAGAGCGUAAAGGAAAAUAAUACUAACUAGCUGGCGGGUAGGGAGAAAGAAAAAGAUUAGACAUAUUAUGAUUACUCCAAUCCAUUAAUAUGAGGAUACCCACCCUCCUUCAAGAAAAUGAGAUUAGUACUUUGGGAUGAAUCUCAUUCCCAAGUAAAUCUAAUAUUACCAACUAGAUUACUUAGUACGUUUAGCCAAAUAUCCUUAUAUUUUUUUAUUCCUAUUGGAUUAUUAGGAAUCUUAAAAAGAUAGCACGAACCAAACGCACCCGUAAAGUUAUCCGCGCAUUGCUGCGAACUUAUACUAUAGAAGACAUAAGAUUA
rnacentral:lncRNA from 1 species